AUUGAACGCUGGCGGCAGGCCUAACACAUGCAAGUCGAACGGUAACAGGAAGAAGCUUGCUUCUUUGCUGACGAGUGGCGGACGGGUGAGUAAUGUCUGGGAAACUGCCUGAUGGAGGGGGAUAACUACUGGAAACGGUAGCUAAUACCGCAUAACGUCGCAAGACCAAAGAGGGGGACCUUCGGGCCUCUUGCCCGCGGAUGUGCCCAGAUGGGAUUAGCUAGGUGGUGGGGUAACGGCCCACCUAGGCGACGAUCCCUAGCUGGUCUGAGAGGAUGACCAGCCACACUGGAACUGAGACACGGUCCAGACUCCUACGGGAGGCAGCAGUGGGGAAUAUUGCACAAUGGGCGCAAGCCUGAUGCAGCCAUGCCGCGUGUAUGAAGAAGGCCUUCGGGUUGUAAAGUACUUUCAGCGGGGAGGAAGGGAGUCAAGUUAAUACCUUUGCUCAUUGACGUUACCCGCAGAAGAAGCACCGGCUAACUCCGUG
rnacentral:rRNA from 1 species